CAGAGACCUCAAGCGUUAUCCGGAAUCAUUGGGCGUAAAGCGUGCCGAUAGGUGGUUUAUCAAGUUUUGGGUAAAAGCCAGAAGCUCAACUUCUGCGUUUGCUCAAAAUACUGAUAGACUUGAGGGGCAAAGAGGUGCUUGGAACUAACGGUGUAGGGUUCAUAUCCGUUGAUAUCGUUAGGAACACCGAAAGCGAAGGCAGAGCACUGGGUGCCACCUGACACUGCUAGGACGAAAGCGUGGGGAGCAAAAAGGAUUAGAUACCCUUGUAGUCCACGCUGUAAACGAUGAAUACUAGGCAUGCGCGAGUAUCGACCCUCGUGCGAGCCGUAGCUAACGCGUUAAGUAUUCCGCAUGGGGAGUACGGUCGCAAGACUA
rnacentral:rRNA from 1 species